ACACACUCCCACCUUUGUGUGCCUCUUGCCCAAAAAACUGAACCUGAAUCUGAUUAAGCUUCUAGAUUCAACUACCAAUUAGCAUAAUCACAAAUAUGGAAGAUAGAAGAACAUGUUAACCAACACCACAGGAUGACGGCAGCAAAACCCAGUCUGUGAUCCUGAGUUACUUGUUCUUCCCUCAGUGGGAUUAAGAGUUCCCUUCAUUCAGGAAAAGAAUCAGGCAACUAUUAAAAUCCAAGGUCUCCUGGCAGAGUUGAAGUGUACAACCAGUUCCUGAUCAAAGCUACACCAUGAUACUGUCUAGAAGAGGCACCUGGAAUGCAAUGGCUUGUAUUUAUGGGAAUAAGAAACCUAUCUUCCUAGUAAGCAAAAAGGAGUAAGAUGAUAGCGAAAGGCCACAGACCUGAGUUGGGUACCCUCUGCAGAAAGUAGUACCUCCAGAGCACAGCAAGAAC